UAUCUAGGUUGGUCAUAACUUUCCUUCCAAGGAGUAAGCGUCUUUCAAUUAGCUUGUACUAUAAACUAGCUUGUACUAUUUGUUUAUAAUUCUCUUUUUUAAAUUUAAAUAAGAGUAGGGCUUGAUCGAUUCAUUCUUGUUCAAUUGGAGAAGUGUAGUUGGUUUGCAGUGUUCUGUCAGUUUCCGGUGCAGUCGGUUGUACGCAUGUAUGUGCUCUUUUUCAGGUUCUUCCCAUCAUAGGUUGUUAUACGGUAUUGGAUACAGUUCCCUGUGCUAUACAGUAAUCCUUGUUUAUCUGUUUUAUAUACAGUGGUGGGUGUCUGUUAAUUCCCAAACUCCAAAUUUAUCCCUCUCCUCCAACUUCCCCUUUGGUAGCCAUUAGUUUAUUUGUAUCUGAAGGGCUACAGUCCAUGGGAUGGCAAAGAGGCAGACAGGACUGGGUGACUAACAGUUUCACUUUUCACUUACGUGUAUCCGUUUUUUUAGAUUCUGCAUAUGAAAUGAAAAGGAAAGUCGCUCAGUCAUGUCUGACUCUUUGAGAUACCAUGGACUAUACUGUCCAUGGAAUUUUCCAGGCAGUAAUAUUGGAGUUUGUAGCCUUUCCCUUCUCCAGCAAAUCUUCCUGACCCAGGAAUCAAACUGGGGUCUUCUNNNNNNNNNNNNNNNNNNNNNNNNNNCUGAGCAUGUAGGUGGUCUCAUAUGAUAUUUAUCUUUCUCUGUCUGACUUCAGUUAACUCUAAUAUUCCCUAGUAACAUCCAUGUUGCUGCAAAGAUUUUUUUUUUUUUGAGACAAAACUUAUACAGUGAAAUUCACCCUUUGAUGAGUGUUGACCAAGACAUGCCUCUGUGAAACCCAAACCCCUGUCCUGAUAUCUUUGAAUGCUUUUGGCUCCAAGAAACAGAAAACCAACCCAAUGUGUUGACCCCAUAACUGGAAAUGCAGGAGCCGUGCACAACCAGCUGAUGCCACGUGCGUAUGUAACUGAGUGUCUUCUGAAACAAUAUGUGUCCUUAGAAUCGCGCUACUCCUCUCUUAGAGUUGCCACCUACGGAGUCUUUACUCCCCUUUCCUUUCCAGAAGUGUCCAGCAGAAGUGCAAAGCUGAGGGGAAGGUUAGAGCUCACUUUUUGAAGCUA
rnacentral:lncRNA from 1 species